rnacentral:rRNA from 1 species
UACGGAGGGUGCAAGCGUUAUCCGGAUUCACUGGGUUUAAAGGGUGCGUAGGUGGGCAGGUAAGUCAGUGGUGAAAUCUCCGAGCUUAACUCGGAAACUGCCGUGGAUACUAUCAAUCUUGAAUACUGUGGAGGUAAGCGGAAUAUGUCAUGUAGCGGUGAAAUGCUUAGAUAUGACAUAGAACACCGAUAGCGGAGGCAGCUUGCUACACAGUCAUUGACACUGAGGCACGAAAGCGUGGGGAUCAAACAGG